rnacentral:rRNA from 1 species
GUAGGGAAUCUUCCGCAAUGGACGAAAGUCUGACGGAGCAACGCCGCGUGAGCGAUGAAGGCCUUCGGGUCGUAAAGCUCUGUUGUCAGGGAAGAACAAGUGCCGGAGUAACUGCCGGCACCUUGACGGUACCUGACCAGAAAGCCACGGCUAACUACGUGCCAGCAGCCGCGGUAAUACGUAGGUGGCA